rnacentral:rRNA from 1 species
AUGAAUACAUAUUACAGUACAAAAACAAAAGAAAAGUCCCUCCACGGUGGAGAGUUCGUUUUCCUCCAAGACAAUGACCCACGCCAUCUAACUCGUGUCCAUUGGAUGUGUUGCUGUGGAGAGGAAUCACUAGCUCUUCGCUUCCGCAUUACCCAUUGCCAUGUAGUCCUCCAGCACGCCCGUCUGCUAUUCCGUCGUGCAGGCCCAUCCAAAUUCUGGGAGCACACCCUCGUUCCCUCGUCUUGGCACGACAGGAAUGGAGCCGCUCGCGUCCUGCAGAGACUCAAACACAUGUCAGAUCAACGGCAGCGGCGCCAGGUCGGCCUUCGGGGGCGUCGCCGCCAUAGGGCCGAUGCCGUCGUCACGGCGACACUUGUGGCCAGCAUCCCGUAG